rnacentral:rRNA from 1 species
CCUACGGGGGGCUGCAGUGGGGAAAUUUGGACAAUGGGGGCAACCCUGAUCCAGUCAUGCCGCGUGUGUGAAGAAGGCCCUCGGGUUGUAAAGCACUUUCAGUGAGGAAGAACGCCUGGUGGUUAAUACCCAUCAGGAAAGACAUCACUCACAGAAGAAGCACCGGCUAACUCCGUGCCAGCAGCCGCGGUAAUACGGAGGGUGCGAGCGUUAAUCGGAAUUACUGGGCGUAAAGCGCGCGUAGGUGGCUUGAUAAGCCGGUUGUGAAAGCCCCGGGCUCAACCUGGGAACGGCAUCCGGAACUGUCAAGCUAGAGUGCAGGAGAGGAAGGUAGAAUUCCCGGUGUAGCGGUGAAAUGCGUAGAGAUCGGGAGGAAUACCAGUGGCGAAGGCGGCCUUCUGGACUGACACUGACACUGAGGUGCGAAAGCGUGGGUAGCAAACAGGAUUAGAUACCCUGGUAGUC